rnacentral:misc_RNA from 1 species
AAAGAUGAGGGCAGCAAUGAGAGGAAAAGAGCUGGCAGCAAUUGGCAAUAACUCAGAACAAGAGGUGACCCAAACACCAACAGAAAUAGAUAUCGUGACCCUGAAAGCAGAACUUGAGAAUGUAAAGGAAAAGAUGGCAGAACUGCAAAGAGACUACUCUGAGCUGCAACAUGAAUAUGCAAUGCUAAACAACAACCAUAAAAAUUUGUCUGGCUGGAUUCUCAGUUGGAAAAAGAUCAGGAAAUCAGCUCUUUUCAAUAGAAAAGUAGAUGGGGAUGAAUCCAGUGAAGAACAGCAGAGAUCUAAACCACUGGCCCACAAAGGCAAAUUCAGAAGAAGACAAUCUGUAUCAUAGUUUUAUAAUAAUAAAAUAUAAACAAAUAAGAAAUAUAAAUAAAGUAUCAAUUGUGAUCAAGUUCAUUUAAUUCCACAGUUGCACUGUUUUCUUAAGGCGAGGCAUAGAGAAAAUUGAUAAAUCCUUAGUUCACAUGUAGA